AACUGCGAAUGGCUCAUUAAAUCAGUUAUAGUUUAUUUGAUAGUACCUUCUACCUGGAUAACCGUGGUAAUUCUAGAGCUAAUACAUGCUAAAAACCCCGACUUACGAAGGGGUGUAUUUAUUANAUAAAAAACCAAUGCCCUCCGGGGCUCACUGGUGAUUCAUGAUAACUUAACGAAUCGCAUGGCCUUGCGCCGGCGAUGGUUCAUUCAAAUUUCUGCCCUAUCAACUUUCGAUGGUAGGAUAGUGGCCUACCAUGGUCUCAACGGGUAACGGGGAAUUAGGGUUCGAUUCCGGANAGGGAGCCUGANAAACGGCUACCACAUCCAAGGAAGGCAGCAGGCGCGCAAAUUACCCAAUCCCAAUACGGGGAGGUAGUGACAAUACAUACCGAUACAGGGCUCUUUCGGGUCUUGUAAUUGGAAUGAGUACAAUCUAAACCCCUUAACGAGGAACAAUUGGAGGGCAAGUCUGGUGCCAGCAGCCGCGGUAAUUCCAGCUCCAAUAGCGUAUAUUAAAGUUGUUGCAGUUAAAAAGCUCGUAGUUGAACCUUGGGCCUGGCCGAUCUGUCUUCCUAACCGUUGUACGGAUUCGGUCGGGCCUUUCCUUCUGGGGANCCCCAUGUCCUUUACUGGGCGUGGUGGGGAACCAGGACUUUUACCUUGAGAAAAUUAGAGUGUUCAAAGCAGGCCUUUGCUCGAAUACAUUANCAUGGAAUAAUGGAAUAGGACAGCAGUUCUAUUUUGUUGGUUUCUAGGACCGCUGUAAUGAUUAAUAGGGAUAGUCGGGGGCGUCAGUAUUCAAUUGUCAGAGGUGAAAUUCUUGGAUUUAUUGAAGACUAACUAUUGCGAAAGCAUUCGCCAAGGAUGUUUUCAUUAAUCAGUGAACGAAAGUUAGGGGAUCGAAGACGAUCAGAUACCGUCGUAGUCUUAACCAUAAACUAUGCCGACUAGGGAUUGGACGGUGUUUCUUUUAUGACCCGUUCAGCACCUUACGAGAAAUCAAAGUUUUUGGGCUCUGG
rnacentral:rRNA from 1 species